rnacentral:pre_miRNA from 1 species
AGAGUGCAGUAAAGCCAAGGAUGAAUUGCCGGCCUGACGCUAAUACUACAUAUAUGUAUAUGCAUGUUUGGUCGAAUCGAGUAUAUCAGACAUGCCAUAUGUGUAUUACAAUUUGUCGGCAAUUUAUCCUUUGGCUAUAUUGGGCUCUCU